rnacentral:lncRNA from 1 species
UUUUCCAGAUCAUAUGACAUGUUGGUUAUGUCUCUCUCAUUGCUGCUUUCCGAUGUUUUUAUCUCUUUGGGUAUAUAUAUAUCAAUUGGUCUCGUGAGUACUUUGAUUAUACUUACUGGUCUUGCGAGUACUUUGAUUUUAUUUGUGGUCAUGUGAUUAUCAGAAGUGUAUGACGUCGUUCUCCCAGGUAGUUUGAGUAAAGGAACUGUUGUGCAGAACUGUGGUUGACGAAUGUUUUAUUUCUGCCACUUCUUUAUCUGCUUGCCUUGUAAAUGCAUUUCAUGCAUUUACUAUAGCUUUAAGAGUAUCAGCAUCACGUGUGGCAGAUGUGUGGAGAGAAACUGUGCAGACCAGUGUCACUGUGUGUAUAAAGGGUUAAGAUCCCCUAGAUCUUGCCUGGAAUGUAUACAUCACCUUAACAGACAUCUGAAGAAAUAUAUACCAUAUGAACUGAUA